rnacentral:rRNA from 1 species
AUUGAACGCUGGCGGCAGGCCUAACACAUGCAAGUCGAGCGGCUGAGGGGUGCUUGCUCCCUGAUUUAGCUGCGGACGGGUGGGUGAUUCCUGAAAAUCUGCCUGUCUGCUGGGUAUAACGGUCCAACAUGAAGACUAAUACGCCAUUACUGCUACGGGAGAACGGGUGAGAGCAUCGGAUCUUCGGCUAUCACAUGAGCCUAUGUGCGUAUGUCGGAUUAGCUAGUUGGCGGGGUAAAGGCCCACCAAGGCGACGAUCCGUAGCUGGUCUGAGAGGAUGAUCAGCCACACUGGAACUGAGACACGGUCCAGACUCCUACGGGAGGCAGCAGUGGGGAAUAUUGGACAAUGGGCGCAAGCCUGAUCCAGCCAUGCCGCGUGUGUGAAGAAGGUCUUCGGAUUGUAAAGCCCUUUUAUUUGGGAAGAAGGGCUGCAGGUUAAUACCCUGCAGUUCUGACGUUACCCAAAGAAUAAGCACCGGCUAACUUCGUG